rnacentral:tRNA from 1 species
GGGCGAAUGGUUUAGUGGUAUAAUACUCCCUUAGCAUAAAUUGGUUAUGGAACAACCGGUUCAUGGUGACCAGUGCCAAAGGUUGGGAGUGGUCCAGGGUUCGAUUCCCUGUUCGUCCA